ACCAGAUAAACCAGGACUUGCAGCAAGCCAACGAUGCUCUACGAGCAGAACUCAACAAAGAAAUGGAGGAAAAAAACCUUCUUCGCUGCCAGUCUGAUCAAAAAUCUCAAGAAAUCCAUCAGCUGCAAGAAGAACUGAAAACAGCUAAACAGUUUCUGAAGGAGACCCAGAAUUAUGCGGAAGAGAUGAAAAAGAAGAGUUUGUCUCAGGAAAUACAAUUAGAAAAGAAAGAAGCUGAGAUUCGGGAUUUAGAGGGGAAAAAUCAAGAUUUGACUGAGGAACUUGAGAAAGUGCAGUCAGAGUUGCAACUUAAACAAGCUGAGAUCGCC